UCUGCCUAAAUAUGUAAGACUCCUUUACCAUGAAAGAUGCUUCCAUUGCAGAUAGCACAUUAGGAUUAGUCACAUAUACACCCUAAAUAUGAUAGACUCCUAUACCAUGAAAGAUGCUUCCAUUGCAGAUGCACAUUAGGAUAAAUCACAUAUUAUACAGCCUUAAUAUGUAACACUCCUAUACCAUGAAAGAUGCUUUCACACAUUAGGAUGUUGCACAUAUACAUCUAAAUAUGUUGCACUCCUAGACAGAGAAGAUGGAUUCAUGGCAGAUAGGAAGAGUCAACAUAUACAGCCCAGAUAUGUUCCACUCCUACCCAAUGAAUAUGGUUUCAUGGUAGAUAGGAAGAGUCAACAUAUACAGCCCAGAUAUGUUCCACUCCUACCCAAUGAAUAUGGUUUCAUGGUAGAUGCACAUUAGGAUGUUUAACAUAUACAGCCGAAAUAUGUUACACUCCUAGACAAUGAAGAUGGUUUCAUGGUAGAUUGAUCACACAUCUGGAUACGUAG